AGAAAUUCCUCCCUCUCUCUCGUUCUUUAAACUGUUGGUGGAUAUUUAUUGGUUGUCUCCCUACAGACAAUAUGUUACAAAAAAGGAAUAUUUCUUUUUCUUCUGCUUGCUGACUUUGUAAUGCUAAUUCGAAAGAUUAAACCCAUUUAUCUAUAUUGCCCCUUUUCAGCUAAAAUAUAGAAUUCUAUCUCCAUGCUUUUUGAAAAAACAUUUCCAGUUUUUGGUAAUAUGUUGAAUCUUGUUAUUGAUGCUUUGAAUCAUAGGUUUAGCUCUCAAAUUGCAACUCUUUGGUGUACUUCGAUUGUUUAGUUUGUCUGGGUAAUUUGGAAAACAAGGAAUGCAAGAAUUUUUGACGACAUUCAAUCAAACAUUCAUGUUUCUUUGAGAUUCAUUUAGAAAUAUAUUCGAGAGACAUAUUACUUUAAAUGUGGUUUUAUGAGAAAUGAUCCGAGAGAUUCACAUAUUAUUGCUUCUUAAUAUUAAAAAAGUUCCCCAAAACCUCCAUCUAUCAUUCUUGUUAGCUGGAAUCCUUCUCUGGCUAAUUGGAUCAAAGUUAAUAUAAAUGGUUCUGCAGCGGGAUAUUCGAGUAUGGCAGGUGCAUGUGGAAUCUUUCAGAAUACAAAACGAUUUUCAAAAGGAGCUUUUUCUUUUGAUAUUGGCUUUAGUUGUGUUUUUGUAGCUGAAUUAAGAGCUGCAAUAUUUGAAGUUAAAGUGGUUUGGCAAAAAGGUUAGUUUAACCUUUGGCUAAAAUCUGGCUCUUUGUAUAUUGUCAAUGCGCUUAGUUACAAGACCAAAAUAACCUUGACAAUUGAUGGAUCAAUGGUUUGAAUCUCUUCAUGUAAUACCCCGUACUUUUAGAAGUGCCAAGUAAGGUGCCACGAAGCACAAGUGUGAGAAUUUAAUUGGGGAUUUCGAAAUUUAGUUUGAGAAAUAAGAAAAUAGACCAAAGUGAGUUUAUUAAAUUUUUUGUAAAAUAAUAAUUUCAGUAAAAUUAUUAUUUGAUAAAAUUGGAAUUUAUCGGGACUAGAGAAAAAUAAAUAAACUAAAUGAUAAGUCUCGAAUUAAUAAAUGUUACGACAAAAUUCGUAAAAUAAAAUUAAGGAGUUAAGAUUACACUUUAUACAACUUGGACACAAGAAUUUUAAUUAAGCGGAACUUGAUUAUCGGAAUAAGGAAAGUAAAUAAAUAAUGCGGAGUCCAUUAUUUAUCGAUAAAUGAAAAUCGUUAAGGUUCCGUUUAAUUAUAAAAAGAAUUGGAAAUAAUUUGAAGAAAAUUGAAAGCUAAAGGAUUGAAUUGUAAGAAGUGUUAAAAUUCAAGCUUUCAUAUAAACUUUUUCCCCACAUAUUCAUUAAGAAAAUGACACCUAAUUCCCUCCACCUCUUCAAGAUUUAUCUAGCAAGCCAAGGACCCAAAAUCAGAAAUCCCCAAUACCCUCAACUUCCUUUGCCGAAGCUCCAUCUCCAUGUUCUUCUUCUUCUUAUGCGAGUUGGGCGACGGGGAUCAUAACUCAACAAAUUGAUCAUCAAAUUUAGCGGUUUAAGCGCGGUUGUAAAGCCAACACACCAAGGGUUAAGUGUUUUAUUUCAGGUGAUAGUAUUUGAAGAGAUGGACUUCCAUUCUUGUUCCGGAAGUCUGCAAUAUAUAAAGUAUGUAUUGAAGUACGCUUCAAUUCGUAGCGCUGCAGUAGUCAGUAGAUGUCAAACUAUAUUUGACUUUAUGUAUUGAAAGAGGUUCAGUUGUUAAUUUUAUAAAAUAUAUAUACAUGGUUUUAUAAAGCUAUGGUUUUUACUGUUUGAUUUCUUUA